CUUCCGGGAAAACUUUGACUAAGCCCAAACCGUUAAAAGGGUCUGAAUUUGAAUAAGAUCUGUCUUUACUUUUCAAAGGUUGCUUGGAAUCAACAGAAAACCCACUUUGUGAGAAAUGUCUACCGAGGCAGAAGAAACCUCUGUAACUGCUAGUGCUACGACUCUCAUUCGUACCCUGUGGAAUGAUCCUUUUAGAUGGCAACUGGUGAAGAGUUUCUCCCUGUUUGCAGUGGCUGUGCUCUUUGCUCAUGAAAUGGCUGUGGUUAGUUCUUCACCUUAGUGAACAUGUCUACUGCAAGAGGAUCCUGUGUGUGCGAGGUCAAGGAUGUGAAUUAUGUGUCGCCGUCAAGCACCGGAGAUUUCCUCAUGACUCUACACAAUGUGGUGCUUGUGUUACAAAAACUAUAAAUAAAUGUAUUUUUUCCUGUCUCGUUAAA